CUGGAGUCCAGGUGGCUCCGGGAACUAGGAGAAAAAGGAAACACUCUCCCCUGGAGUCCCAGGAAGCAAUCAUCUGGGUGGUUGAUUUCUGCUCAGUGAAACUGAUUUCAGACUUCCUGCCUCCAGAACUCCAGACCGCCGAGCUUUGCUGAGGCAUCAUGGUGGGACUUAAAGAAGUAUCUUGGCCGGGCGCAGUGGCUCACACCUAUAAUCCCAGAACUUUGGGAGGAUGAGGCAGGAGGAUCAAUUGAGUCACGGAGUUCAAGACCAGCCUGGGCAACAGAGUGAGACUCUGUCUCUACAACAAAUUUUAAAAAAAUUAGUCAGGAAAAACAAAGAUCCCCAAAGUCCAUUUCGCUCCGAGGUCAGUGGACACAGCUCUGUGACUGUCCUGUGCUGUGUGGGUCUGUAGAAGGGCCAGUCAUGGGCCAUCGAGCUACUCACAGCCAACUGCACCCAAGUCCAAGCCUGGCUCUGUUCCCAUACACAGAGACAGGAUGGGGGCUGCUGAUCUGGCCUGAAGCCUUGCUCUGGGCACUGAAAACGGGGGCUAUUUCCUUACCUGAAGAUCUGGAAGCAGCAUGUUGACAAAAGCACCAACUGCUCUGCCAUCACGUCCCACUGGGUGUCAGUGGGAAGGCCUAACCAAGGCCUGCC
rnacentral:lncRNA from 1 species